AGGAAUGUGACUUAGUGGUACAGUGCUUGCCUAAUAUGCAGGAGGGCCUGGGUUCAAUUCCUCCAUACCAC
rnacentral:tRNA from 1 species